rfam:Brachypodium distachyon strain Bd21 chromosome 4, whole genome shotgun sequence.
ACUUUGUGCCCUCUGUCUGAAAAUAAGUGACUCGGAUUUGUUUAGAUUAGUAUGUAUCUAGACGCGUUUUAGUGUAUAGAUACAUGCGAAUCUAGACAAAUAACGCGUCUAGAUACAUACUAAUCUAAACAAAUCCGAGUCACUUAUUUCCGGACGGAGGGAAUACUUG